GAGUCCAGGAAUUUGGGGCUGCAGUGCACUAUGCCGAUCAGGUGUCUGCACUAAGUUCAGCAUCAAUAUGCUGACCUCCCGGGAGUCGGGCACCACCAGGUUGCCUAAGGCGGGGUGAACUGGUCCAGCUCAGAAACGGAGCAGGUCAAAACUCCCGUGCUGAUCAGUAGUGGGAUAGUGCCUGUGAAGAGCUACUAUACUCCAGCCUGGGAAACA
rnacentral:SRP_RNA from 1 species